UCCGAGUUGGUCUAGUGGUCAUGAUUUCCGCUUGUCACUGUUCAACUCAGUUCACAAGCGCGGGAGACCGGGGUUCGAUUCCCCGAUUCGGAG